rnacentral:rRNA from 1 species
AACAUUGAGCCUUGAUGUGUAGGAUAGGUGGGAGGCUUUGAAGUGUGGACGCCAGUCUGCAUGGAGCCGACCUUGAAAUACCACCCUUUAAUGUUUGAUGUUCUAACGUUGACCCGUGAUCCGGGUUACGGACAGUGUCUGGUGGGUAGUUUGACUGGGGCGGUCUCCUCCUAAAGAGUAACGGAGGAGCACGAAGGUUGGCUAAUCCUGGUCGGACAUCAGGAGGUUAGUGCAAUGGCAUAAGCCAGCUUGACU